rnacentral:pre_miRNA from 1 species
UAUCUUUGUCCUAAAUUAAACUUCUUAAAGUUUGACCAAGUUUACAGAAAAUUUACUAAUAUCUACAAUAUCAAAUAAGUAUAGUAUGAAGAUAUAUAUCAUGAUGGAUUUACUAAACUAAUUUAGAGUUGCAGAUGUUAAUAGAUUUUUCUAUAAACUCGGUCAAAAUUUAAGAAGUUUGACUUAGGACAAAGCUAG